UACGGAGGGUGCGAGCGUUGUUCGGAAUGACUGGGCGUAAAGGGCGCGUAGGCGGCCGCUUGCGUCGGAUGUGAAAGCCCGGGGCUCAACCCCGGAACGGCAUCCGAUACGGAGCGGCUCGAGACCGAGAGAGGUGAGUGGAAUACCCAGUGUAGAGGUGAAAUUCGUAGAUAUUGGGUGGAACACCGGUGGCGAAAGCGGCUCACUGGCUCGGUUCUGACGCUGAGGCGCGAAAGCGUGGGGAGCAAACAGG
rnacentral:rRNA from 1 species